rfam:Triticum aestivum genome assembly, contig: Triticum_aestivum_CS42_TGACv1_scaffold_050402_1BS
AAAGUACUCCCUCCGUCCCAAAAUUCUUGUCUUAGAUUUGUCUAGAUACGGAUGUAUCAAGUCACNCGUCCCAAAAUUCUUGUCUUAGAUUUGUCUAGAUACGGAUGUAUCAAGUCACAUUUUAGUAUUAGAUACAUCCAUAUCUAGACAAAUCUAAGACAAGAAAUUUGGGACAGAGGGAGUAGUUG